rnacentral:rRNA from 1 species
UGCAAGUCGAGCGCCCCGCAAGGGGAGCGGCAGACGGGAGAGUAACACGUGGGAACGUACCCUUCAGUUCGGAACAACCCAGGGAAACUUGGGCUAAUACCGAAUACGUCCGUAAGGAGAAAGAUUUAUCGCUGAAGGAUCGGCCCGCGUCUGAUUAGCUAGUUGGUGAGGUAAUGGCUCACCAAGGCUACGAUCAGUAGCUGGUCUGAGAGGAUGAUCAGCCUCACUGGGACUGAGACACGGCCCAGACUCCUACGGGAGGCAGCAGUGGGGAAUAUUGGACAAUGGGCGCAAGCCUGAUCCAGCCAUGCCGCGUGGGUGAUGAAGGCCCUAGGGUUGUAAAGCCCUUUCGGCGGGGAAGAUAAUGACGGUACCCGCAGAAGAAGCCACGGCUAACUACGUGCCAGCAGCCGCGGUAAUGCGUAGGUGGCAAGCGUUGUCCGGAUUUACUGGGCGUAAAGGAUGCGUAGGCGGACAUUUAAGUCAGAUGUGAAAUACCCGAGCUUAACUUGGGUGCUGCAUUUGAAACUGGGUGUCUAGAGUGCAGGAGAGGUAAGUGGAAUUCCUAGUGUAGCGGUGAAAUGCGUAGAGAUUAGGAAGAACACCAGUGGCGAAGGCGACUUACUGGACUG